rnacentral:rRNA from 1 species
AACGAACGCUGGCGGCAUGCCUAACACAUGCAAGUCGAACGAGACCUUCGGGUCUAGUGGCGCACGGGUGCAUAACGCGUGGGAAUCUACCCUCAGGUUCGGAAUAACUCAGAGAAAUUUGAGCUAAUACCGGAUGAUGACGUAAGUCCAAAGAUUUAUCGCCUGAGGAUGAGCCCGCGUAGGAUUAGGUAGUUGGUGAGGUAAAGGCUCACCAAGCCGACGAUCCUUAGCUGGUCUGAGAGGAUGAUCAGCCACACUGGGACUGAGACACGGCCCAGACUCCUACGGGAGGCAGCAGUGGGGAAUAUUGGACAAUGGGCGAAAGCCUGAUCCAGCAAUGCCGCGUGAGUGAUGAAGGCCUUAGGGUUGUAAAGCUCUUUUACCCGGGAUGAUAAUGACAGUACCGGGAGAAUAAGCUCCGGCUAACUCCGUG